UACGUAGGGUGCAAGCGUUUGUCCGGAAUUAUUGGGCGUAAAGAGCUUGUAGGCGGUUUGUCGCGUCUGCUGUGAAAUUUCGGGGCUCAACCCCGAACUUGCAGUGGGUACGGGCAGACUAGAGUGUGGUAGGGGGAGACUGGAAUUCCUGGUGUAGCGGUGAAAUGCGCAGAUAUCAGGAGGAACACCGAUGGCGAAGGCAGGUCUCUGGGCCACUACUGACGCUGAGAAGCGAAAGCAUGGGGAGCGAACAGG
rnacentral:rRNA from 1 species